GACGAACGCUGGCGGUGUGCUUAACACAUGCAAGUCGAACGGAAAGGCCCUGCUUUUGUGGGGUGCUCGAGUGGCGAACGGGUGAGUAACACGUGAGUAACCUGCCCUUGACUUUGGGAUAACUUCACGAAACUGGGGCUAAUAUCGGAUAGGAGAUCCUGCAGCAUGGUGGGGGUGGGAACGUUUCGGCGGUUGGAGAUGGACUCGCGGCUUAUGAGCUUGUUGGUGGGGUAGGGGCUUACCAAGGAUUUGACGGGUAGCCGACCUGAGUGGGUGACCGGCCACAAUGGGACUGAGAGACGACCCAGACUCCUACGGGAGGCAACAGUGGGAAAUAUUGCACAAUGGGAGGAAGCGUGAUGCAACAACGCCGCGUGCGUGAUGACGGCCUUCGGGGUGUAAACCGCAUUCGCCUGUGACGAAGCGGGAGUGACGGUAAUGGAUAAAGAAGCACCGGCUAACUACGUG
rnacentral:rRNA from 1 species